AUUGUCAGAAUGAUUGUAAUAUGACGUGACAUAACACGUAAUCUGUUUUUAUUUGUGUAUGUCUUUUUUAAAUGAUCCUAUCGAAAUCUGUUGUGGUAACAUGUACAAGAAAGUGGUUAUUUUGCUGUCGUGUUUUGCUUUGUGCAACACUGAGGAAUAUUACUACCAUGGAUAUAAUGUGACUCGAUCUACAUUAUCCGGGAUAGCGGCUUACCGUUCAUCACUGACCCUGGACUGGUUGGCCGCCGAAGACUCGAGGCAACGAGAGCUGGCUGUGGCCUUCGAAACUGAAGCGCCAUCUAUAAAAGUUAUUAAUUCAGAUUGUAUGAGCUACCCGCGUCCAACUACUGGCAAAAUCGGCAGGCUCAUGCUGGAAUUGUUGAAAAAUUUAGAAGGAGAUGAUAGCGCGUUAGUUCCGGAACUGGUCCAAGUGUUGAAACGUGCGAAGCUGCUGGUCGAAACGUCGAUCUUCGAAACUGAACCCGACUUGGAUUCCCUGGUGAAGACACCGUCGAUGAUGAUGGGUGAACCCCACGCCACCUUCCCAAAGAUCAUCGCUGUUAUAUGGAUGCUGAUAACCGACCCUUCGCUAACCAGGAAGUAUGGCUGGUGUCCCAUUAAUACGAUGAAUAUAUAUCUGUCAAACGCCAAGCCACAUGAGAUCGCCAAGCGGAUGCGGACCCUCGAGCUGGUGAUGGCGCGGGCUCGCUUCAUCAUGGAAGACUUCAUACAGAACAUAACGCCGAUGAAUAUGUAUCAGAAGGUCAAACCGCCAAAGAAAAAUAAGUUGUAGUUCUCUACAAAGUUUCCGAUGUUAUCCGACCUCUGUGUCAUAAAAUAAAGUUUACAGCCGGCCCCCACAGACACAACUACACAGAAACACGCCAUGAAACCGCGCGCUCAUCAAAAAUUUGAUUUCGAGAUGUCUGCAAACAAUCUGGAGACGACACCAGGGUAUGAGGUUAUGGAUGACAGUAUCUCUGUCGUUACUAACGGCGCUUCCAAACUAUUUUUGGAUGCAUCGCUUUAUUUUUUAUGUAUUUAUAAAUAAAUAUUUCAGUGCGCA